CUGCAACCAUGAGGAUGUCUCUGUAGAGGAUCUACUCAGCUCUCUCACUGUCUUAUCUCUCAGUUGGUUUAUCUAGUCUGUGUCAGGAUGUCACUCAUAUUACUGUUGCUCCUCUCAGCAUUUGUAGGUGAUAGUAUGGAGCAGGAAACAAUAACUCCAGUGAAGCCUGAAGUCAAUGCUCUCCAAGGAACAGACAUCACUCUCUCCUGCAACUACAAGGGCAACAUUAUCAAUCUACAAUGGUACCGUCAAUACCCCGGAUCCAGACCAGAAUGUCUUCUUUGGAUCCUACAAACCAGCAUGUAUGUACAGAAUACAUCCAUUACAACUCCACGACACACUGGUAGACUGAAUGAAGAAAAUACCGUGAAAAACCAUUUGGAUCUGGAGAUCUCCUCUGCUGUAGUGACAGACUCUGCUCUGUACUACUGUGCUGUGAUAACCACAACAUCAAAGCACUAA